GAUGAAGAACGCAGCGAAAUGCGAUAAGUAAUGUGAAUUGCAGAAUUCAGUGAAUCAUCGAAUCUUUGAACGCACAUUGCGCCCCCUGGUAUUCCGGGGGGCAUGCCUGUCCGAGCGUCAUUACAACCCUCAAGCUCAGCUUGGUGUUGGGCCCCGCCGCCCCGGCGGGCCCUAAAGUCAGUGGCGGUGCCGUCCGGCUCCGAGCGUAGUAAUUCUUCUCGCUCUGGAGGUCCGGUCGUGUGCUAGCCAGCAACCCCCAAUUUUUUUCAGGUUGACCUCGGAUCAGGUAGGGAUACCCGCUGAACUUAAGCAUAUCAAUAAGCGGAGGA
rnacentral:misc_RNA from 1 species